rnacentral:tRNA from 1 species
CGAAAUGUAGCUUAUUUAAAGCUAUUUAUUUACAUUAAACUGAAAAUUUUAUAAUUCUUUUCGA